rnacentral:rRNA from 1 species
UACGUAGGGUGCGAGCGUUGUCCGGAAUUAUUGGGCGUAAAGAGCUCGUAGGCGGUGUGUCACGUCGGCCGUGAAAACCUGCAGCUUAACUGUGGGCGUGCGGGCGAUACGGGCAGACUGGAGUACUGCAGGGGAGACUGGAAUUCCUGGUGUAGCGGUGGAAUGCGCAGAUAUCAGGAGGAACACCGGUGGCGAAGGCGGGUCUCUGGACAGUUCCUGACGCUGAGGCACGAAGGCCAGGGGAGCAAACGGG